ACUGCUCAGUAACACGUCGAUAAUCUGCCUUUAGGUCUGGAAUAACCUUGGUAAACUGAGGGUAAUACCGGAUAGGGAAAUUCUACUGGGAUGUGUUUUUCCCCAAAGUUUCGACGCCUAAAGAUGAGUCGGCGGCGGAUUAGGUUGUUGGUGGGGUAAUGGCCCACCAAGCCGAAGAUCCGUAGGGGCCUUGAAAGAGGUAGCCCCGAGAAGGACACUGAGAUACUGGUCCUAGCCCCACGGGGUGCAGCAGUCGCGAAACCUUGUCAAUGCACGCAAGUGCGAACAGGGAAUCCUGAGUGCUCAUGUUUUGCAUGGGCUUUUGCCAAGAGUUAAUAUCUUGGCGAAUAAGUGGUGGGUAAGACUGGUGCCAGCAGCCGCGGUAACACCAGCGCCACAAGUGGGAAUCGUAUAUUUGGCCUAAAGCGUCCGUAGCCGGACUGGCAAAUCUUCUGUGAAAUCGAACAGCCUAACCGUUCGGCGCGCAGGGGACACUACCAAUCUUGGAACCGGGAGGGGUACAGAGUAUUCUGGGGGAAGCGGUAAAAUGCUAUAAUCCCCAGAGGACUACCGAUGGCGAAGGCACUGUACCAGAACGGAUUCGACGGUGAGGGACGAAAGCCAGGGGAGCGAUCCGGAUUAGAUACCCGAGUAGUCCUGGCUGUAAACUCUGCGAGCUAGGUGUUGCGCAUUCUCCGUGAAUGUGCAGUAUCGUAGCGAAGGCGUUUAGCUCGCCGCCUGGGAAGUAUGGUCGCAAGGCUGAAACUUAAAGGAAUUGGCGGGGGAGCAC
rnacentral:rRNA from 1 species